GCAUUGCAAACAGUGAGUUGGGAGAGGUACAUGUACAUAUAUCUCAGGCAUUGCAAACAGUGAGUUGGGAGAGGUACAUGUACAUAUAUCUCAGGCAUUGCAAACAGUGAGUUGGGAGAGGUACAUGUACAUAUAUCUCAGGCAUUGCAAACAGUGAGUUGGGAGAGGUACAUGUACAUAUAUCUCAGGCAUUGCAAACAGUGAGUUGGGAGAGGUACAUGUACAUAUAUCUCAGGCAUUGCAAAGAGUGAGUUGGGAGAGGUACAUGUACAUAUAUCUCAGGCAUUGCAAACAGUGAGUUGGGAGAGGUACAUGUACAUAUAUCUCAGGCAUUGCAAACAGUGAGUUGGGAGAGGUACAUGUACAUAUAUCUCAGGCAUUGCAAACAGUGAGUUGGGAGAGGUACAUGUACAUAUAUCUCAGGCAUUGCAAACAGUGAGUUGGGAGAGGUACAUGUACAUAUAUCUCAGGCAUUGCAAAGAGUGAGUUGGGAGAGGUACAUGUACAUAUAUCUCAGGCAUUGCAAACAGUGAGUUGGGAGAGGUACAUGUACAUAUAUCUCAGGCAUUGCAAACAGUGAGUUGGGAGAGGUACAUGUACAUAUAUCUCAGGCAUUGCAAAGAGUGAGUUGGGAGAGGUACAUGUACAUAUAUCUCAGGCAUUGCAAACAGUGAGUUGGGAGAGGUACAUGUACAUAUAUCUCAGGCAUUGCAAACAGUGAGUUGGGAGAGGUACAUGUACAUAUAUCUCAGGCAUUGCAAACAGUGAGUUGGGAGAGGUACAUGUACAUAUAUCUCAGGCAUUGCAAACAGUGAGUUGGGAGAGGUACAUGUACAUAUAUCUCAGGCAUUGCAAAGAGUGAGUUGGGAGAGGUACAUGUACAUAUAUCUCAGGCAUUGCAAACAGUGAGUUGGGAGAGGUACAUGUACAUAUAUCUCAGGCAUUGCAAACAGUGAGUUGGGAGAGG